rnacentral:rRNA from 1 species
AUGAGAAUUGUGAAGACAUAUUUGCGCAAUCGUCUUGGUGAUGACUCCUUGAAGUACAACCUUAUUUGUUAUGUGGAGAAAAGCAAAAUGAGGAAGGUUACUAAUGAUGCAGUAAUUGAUCGCUUUGAAGCCAUGAAAGAACGUAGGAAACCAUUUUAG